rnacentral:rRNA from 1 species
UGGGAUUCCGGCAGCCUUACACAUGCAGUUCGAACGGUAACAGGAAGCAGCUUGCUUGCUUUUGCUUGACGAAGUUGGCGGACGGGUGAGUAAUGUCUGGGAAACUGCCUGAUGGAGGGGGAUAACUACUGGAAACGGUAGCUAAUACCGCAUAACGUCGCAAGACCAAAGAGGGGGACCUUCGGGCCUCUUGCCAUCGGAUGUGCCCAGAUGGGAUUAGCUAGUAGGUGGGGUAACGGCUCACCUAGGCGACGAUCCCUAGCUGGUCUGAGAGGAUGACCAGCCACACUGGAACUGAGACACGGUCCAGACUCCUACGGGAGGCAGCAGUGGGGAAUAUUGCACAAUGGGCGCAAGCCUGAUGCAGCCAUGCCGCGUGUAUGAAGAAGGCCUUCGGGUUGUAAAGUACUUUCAGCGGGGAGGAAGGCGACAGGGUUAAUAACCCUGUCGAUUGACGUUACCCGCAGAAGAAGCACCGGCUAACUCCGUGCCAGCAGCCGCGGUAAUACGGAGGGUGCAAGCGUUAAUCGGAAUUACUGGGCGUAAAGCGCACGCAGGCGGUCUGUCAAGUCGGAUGUGAAAUCCCCGGGCUCAACCUGGGAACUGCAUUCGAAACUGGCAGGCUAGAGUCUUGUAGAGGGGGGUAGAAUUCCAGGUGUAGCGGUGAAAUGCGUAGAGAUCUGGAGGAAUACCGGUGGCGAAGGCGGCCCCCUGGACAAAGACUGACGCUCAGGUGCGAAAGCGUGGGGAGCAAACAGGAUUAGAUACCCUGGUAGUCCACGCCGUAAACGAUGUCGACUUGGAGGUUGUGCCCUUGAGGCGUGGCUUCCGGAGCUAACGCGUUAAGUCGACCGCCUGGGGAGUACGGCCGCAAGGUUAAAACUCAUAUGAAUUGACGGGGGCCCGCACAAGCGGUGGAACAUGUGGUUUAAUUCGAUGCAACGCGAAGAACCUUACCUACUCUUGACAUCCAAAAAACUUGGCAUACAUGCAUUGGUGCCUUGCGGGAACUCUGAAAACAGGUGCUGCCAUGGCUGUCCUUCAACUCGUGUUUGUGAAAUGGUAGGGAUAAGUUCCCGUAGAGAAUCCGCACCCCUUAUCCAUUGGUUAGCCACCGGUUCGGGCCCGGGAUCUCCAAGGGGAACA